rnacentral:rRNA from 1 species
UACGUAGGCAGCAAGCGUUGUUCGGAGUUACUGGGCGUAAAGAGUAUGUAGGCGGUUGGGUAAGUUUGGUGUGAAAUCUCCCGGCUUAACUGGGAGGGUGCGCUAAAGACUGCCUGGCUCGAGUGUGGGAGAGGAAAGCGGAAUUCCUGGUGUAGCGGUGAAAUGCGUAGAUAUCAGGAGGAACACCUGUGGCGAAGGCGGCUUCCUGGACCGACACUGACGCUGAGGCGCGAAAGCUAGGGGAGCAAACGGG